ACGGCCCAGACUCCUACGGGAGGCAGCAGUGGGGAAUAUUGCACAAUGGGGGAAACCCUGAUGCAGCCAUGCCGCGUGUGUGAAGAAGGCCUUCGGGUUGUAAAGCACUUUCAGUAGGGAGGAAAGGGUGUAGUUUAAUACGCUAUAUCUGUGACGUUACCUACAGAAGAAGGACCGGCUAACUCCGUGCCAGCAGCCGCGGUAAUACGGAGGGUCCGAGCGUUAAUCGGAAUUACUGGGCGUAAAGCGUGCGCAGGCGGUUUGUUAAGCGAGAU
rnacentral:rRNA from 1 species